AAUGGGGGCAACCCUGAUCUAGCCAUGCCGCGUGAGUGAAGAAGGCCUUAAGGUCGUAAAGCUCUUUCAGCUGGGAAGAUAAUGACGGUACCAGCAGAAGAAGCCCCGGCUAACUCCGUGCCAGCAGCCGCGGUAAUACGGAGGGGGCUAGCGUUGUUCGGAAUUACUGGGCGUAAAGCGCGCGUAGGCGGGCUGUUAAGUCGGGGGUGAAAUCCCGGGGCUCAACCCCGGAACUGCCUCCGAUACUGGCAGCCUAGAGAUCGAGAGAGGUGAGUGGAAUUCCGAGUGUAGAGGUGAAAUUCGUAGAUAUUCGGAGGAACACCAGUGGCGAAGGCGGCUCACUGGCUCGAUACUGACGCUGAGGCGCGAAAGCGUGGGGAGCAAACAGGAUU
rnacentral:rRNA from 1 species